rnacentral:rRNA from 1 species
CAUGUYUUAUUGAAUAUAAUUUUAAGUYUGAUYUGCUCCAUGAUUUUAAAUUAAAUAGCUGCAGAAUUUUAACUGUACAAAGGUAGCAUAAUCAAUAGUUUUUUAAUUUAAAGCUUGUAUGAAAGAUUUGAUAAAGUAAAUUUUGUCUCAAUAUUAAUGAAAUUAUAAUUUUUUUUUUAGUUAAAAAGCUAAAUUAAAUUUAAAAGACGAGAAGACCCUAUAGAAUUUUAUAAUUAUUUUAUUAAAAAUAUAAAAUAUGAAUUUUUUUUUUAAUUAAAUUAAUUAUUGGAUUGGGGAAAUUAUUAAAUUUAUAAAAUUUUAAUAUAUAAUAUAACUAUAAUUAUAGAUUAUUUGAUUUUGAUUUUUUAAAUUAAUAGAAUAAAUUACCUUAGGGAUAACAGCGUAAUUUUUUUGGAUAGACCUAAUUGAUAAAAAAGUUUGCGACCUCGAUGUUGAAUUAAGAUAAAAUAUUAAUGUAGAAGUUAAUUAAUUUUGGUCUGUUCRACCAUUAAAAUCUUACGUGAUCUGA